rnacentral:lncRNA from 1 species
UGUGGCCCCAGCGUGCUGUGGCCUCCGGGAGUGGGAAGUGGAGGCAGGAGCCUUCCUUACACUUCGCCAUGAGUUUCCUGAUCGACUCCAGCAUCAUGAUUACCUCCCAGAUACUAUUUUUUGGAUUUGGGUGGCUUUUCUUCAUGCGCCAAUUGUUUAAAGACUAUGAGGACGGGAGGCCAAGGGGCUGGGAUGGCAGGUGCCAUGAACAGCGAGCUCCCAGAGUUGGCCAAAAGCACAGCGGAGGUGCAAAUCCAGCUGUGACCUGCAUUGUCUCCACUAACGACAGCGUCCUUAACCCGGACAGUGACCCAGCAAGUGGCAGCCCACGCUCGCCGGCCGGGUCCAAGUUUUAAGUAAAGAAGCCAUUUGUUCCCAGGCUCAUUUUUAUCAAGGCUCGUCUGUCUUUCCAAAUUAGGGCUGAGUCAUUUAUAAAGCAUGUGAGUGUUUGGAUGUUAGCAGCAAACAUUCAUCCAUUUUAGAAUAAAUGAUUAAAAGGCACUCAUUAAAUUCCUCUGUUGACUGAUGCCAAGGCCCCGAGAACGGAUUGGCCUGUUGGCUUCUGGCUGGCCUGACUGCCAUCCCACCUACUGAGAACUCUCGUAGACUCUGGAGAGAAAAUUCCUGCUCGAGGGGACACCCUGAUGGAAGAUAACAGGAAGGAUGGCACUCAGGCCUGUUCCCCCAAUAUUACAGCACAGUUAUCUACCUUCAGAGUGGCCGCACCCAACAGACUCUUGGUGAGUGGGAGGACAACCCCUUCUCCCCUCCAAAGAUCUAGGGACAAUGUGUGCCAUUCCUUCCCAUGGGCAUGGGGAAUGUUUAACUCAAAAGUCAAGGGAAUAAUUCCAUAAUGACUGAAAACUAAGUAUUUCCAGUCCUGAUAAGAAUGGCGCUCUGUGCCCACUCCAGGAAUACAAGAAUUGGCAAGACUCUCCUGUGGCCCCUGCCCUGGAAGGUAGAAGGUAAAAGAUCAUACACAGACAGGUAAACCAACUCCCGAACAGAACUGGGAGCCUCGGACCACAGGCUCUGACCCUUUGCUGGCCAGCAGGUGCAGAGGGAAGGAGCUUCUGCUGUCCUUGCCCCCAGCAAAUGUCCAUCCUCACCACAAGGGAACAAACCAUGCCCAAUGCCUCGUUGGGGGCACUGGCGCCCCUUGAAUGUAUCCUCUCUAGGAUCCUUGGCCCCACCCACCUGUUUGCCAUCUCCAAAGGUCCUUUCUUAAUGUCUUUAAUUUGGAUGGCUCUGACAGCUCCCCACGGCUGGCCUGAGAAAAUCGCACACUCCUCUGCAUGCCAUUUAUCAGGUCACAGCGUGAGUUUCCCGGGCCCUCCUUCCACUAAAAAAACAUUAAAACAUAUAUAUUACAAUGGCAUUGGUAAACAGGAACCUAUUGAUUUAUAUACUGAAAACAUUUUUCCUCAACCUAAAAGUUCAUGUAUUUCGUUUUGAUUUUAAAAGCAAUUAAAACAUUUCGUGAGUCCUGAAAUCACUGUGGGCCCGAGGCACUGAGCCACCAUACCCGAUACUGAAGGGGGUCUAGGUCAGUCCUCUCUGCAGCCGUCCAGCCGCAGGUUCCCCCUGGGAGCUGCCCUUCCAGGCCUCCCUGCCUGUGCUGCUGCUGCUGCUGCUGCUGCUGCUCCUGCUCCUGCUCCUGCUCCUGCUCCUGCACCCUCAAUGCUGCCUCAUCCUUCUCUGCCACGAAACGUCCUACAAAGGUGUUAAGCCCUGGACCUAGUGUGAUGCUCCCAGGCCCUGGAGGCAGCAUCUGUGCAUCUUCUUUGCCCUCUGCCACCACUCUGACCCCCUGCAAGCCCAGACAGACAACGGUGUCUUCCUGACCAGGUGACAGGAUCCUGCAUUCAUCCC